rnacentral:rRNA from 1 species
GUGUACGUACAAGCAGUGGGAGCACAGAGCAAUCUGUGUGACUGCGUACCUUUUGUAUAAUGGGUCAGCGACUUAUAUUCUGUAGCAAGGUUAACCGAAUAGGGGAGCCGAAGGGAAACCGAGUCUUAACUGGGCGUUAAGUUGCAGGGUAUAGACCCGAAACCCGGUGAUCUAGCCAUGGGCAGGUUGAAGGUUGGGUAACACUAACUGGAGGACCGAACCGACUAAUGUUGAAAAAUUAGCGGAUGACUUGUGGCUGGGGGUGAAAGGCCAAUCAAACCGGGAGAUAGCUGGUUCUCCCCGAAAGCUAUUUAGGUAGCGCCUCGUGAAUUCAUCUCCGGGGGUAGAGCACUGUUUCGGCAAGGGGGUCAUCCCGACUUACCAACCCGAUGCAAACUGCGAAUACCGGAGAAUGUUAUCACGGGAGACACACGGCGGGUGCUAACGUCCGUCGUGAAGAGGGAAACAACCCAGACCGCCAGCUAAGGUCCCAAAGUCAUGGUUAAGUGGGAAACGAUGUGGGAAGGCCCAGACAGCCAGGAUGUUGGCUUAGAAGCAGCCAUCAUUUAAAGAAAGCGUAAUAGCUCACUGGUCGAGUCGGCCUGCGCGGAAGAUGUAACGGGGCUAAACCAUGCACCGAAGCUGCGGCAGCGACGCUUAUGCGUUGUUGGGUA